rnacentral:rRNA from 1 species
CUGGGUCUAAUACCGAAUAUGACCAUGCGCUUCACGGUGUGUGGUGGAAAGCUUUUGCGGUGUGGGAUGGGCCCGCGGCCUAUCAGCUUGUUGGUGGGGUAAUGGCCUACCAAGGCGACGACGGGUAGCCGGCCUGAGAGGGGUGUCCGGCCACACUGGGACUGAGAUACGGCCCAGACUCCUACGGGAGGCAGCAGUGGGGAAUAUUGCACAAUGGGCGCAAGCCUGAUGCAGCGACGCCGCGUGGGGGAUGACGGCCUUCGGGUUGUAAACCUCUUUCAGUAGGGACGAAGCGCAAGUGACGGUACCUACAGAAGAAGCACCGGCCAACUACGUGCCAGCAGCCGCGGUAAUACGUAGGGUGCGAGCGUUGUCCGGAAUUACUGGGCGUAAAGAGCUCGUAGGUGGUUUUGUCGCGUUGUUCGUGAAAUCUCACAACUUAAUUGUGAGCGUGCGGGCGAUACGGGCAGACUGGAGUACUGCAGGG